GUAAAACCCGAUAUUUUUGAAUACUUAGAUUUUUCACAACAUUUAAGGAGUGGUGAUACCAAAAUUGAUUUUUUUAAAUUAAUGGAACAUGAGUAUCGUUAAUUGUAUGACGGUACGGCGCGCAUCGUUUUAUUAGUGCUUUACUACCAUCAUCGUACCUGAACUUAAAAAUUGAAUAUUUCGUUAACGGGAAGACAGAAAUCAAUAAUUUUGACACCGACAUUUAUUUACAGUAAUACUCCG